rnacentral:rRNA from 1 species
AAUAAUCCUGUAGUCGAAAAUGUUGUCUCUCUUGAGUGGAUCCUGAGUACGACGGAGCACGUGAAAUUCCGUCGGAAUCUGGGAGGACCAUCUCCUAAGGCUAAAUACUCUCUAGUGACCGAUAGUGAACCAGUACCGUGAGGGAAAGGUGAAAAGCACCCCGGAAGGGGAGUGAAAUAGAACCUGAAACCGUGUGCUUACAAGUAGUCAGAGCCCGUUAAUGGGUGAUGGCGUGCCUUUUGUAGAAUGAACCGGCGAGUUACGAUUUGAUGCAAGGUUAAGCAGUAAAUGUGGAGCCGUAGCGAAAGCGAGUCUGAAUAGGGCGUUUAGUAUUUGGUCGUAGACCCGAAACCAGGUGAUCUACCCUUGGUCAGGUUGAAGUUCAGGUAACACUGAAUGGAGGACCGAACCGACUUACGUUGAAAAGUGAGCGGAUGAACUGAGGGUAGCGGAGAAAUUCCAAUCGAACCUGGAGAUAGCUGGUUCUCUCCGAAAUAGCUUUAGGGCUAGCCUCAAGUGAUGAUUAUUGGAGGUAGAGCACUGUUUGGACGAGGGGCCCCUCUCGGGUUACCGAAUUCAGACAAACUCCGAAUGCCAAUUAAUUUAACUUGGGAGUCAGAACAUGGGUGAUAAGGUCCGUGUUCGAAAGGGAAACAGCCCAGACCACCAGCUAAGGUCCCAAAAUAUAUGUUAAGUGGAAAAGGAUGUGGCGUUGCCCAGACAACUAGGAUGUUGGCUUAGAAGCAGCCAUCAUUUAAAGAGUGCGUAAUAGCUCACUAGUCGAGUGACACUGCGCCGAAAAUGUACCGGGGCUAAACAUAUUACCGAAGCUGUGGAUUGUCCUUUGGACAAUGGUAGGAGAGCGUUCUAAGGGCGUUGAAGCAUGAUCGUAAGGACAUGUGGAGCGCUUAGAAGUGAGAAUGCCGGUGUGAGUAGCGAAAGACGGG